rnacentral:rRNA from 1 species
CGUCUAUAUACGUAUAGCAUAUCAAUAAGCGGAGGAAAAGAAACUAACUAGGAUUCCCUCAGUAACGGCGAGUGAAGCGGGAAGAGCUCAAAUUUGAAAUCUUCAAGGUUCUACCUUGACGAAUUGUAGUUUAAAGAAGUGUUUUCUGUUGGAGUUUUGGUAAAAGUUCUUUGGAAUAGGACAUCAUAGAGGGUGAGAAUCCCGUAUUUGACCAUUAUUUCCAACUUUGUGAUACGCUUUCAAAGAGUCGGAUUGUUUGGGAAUGCAGUCCAAAAUGGGUGGUAAAUUUCAUCUAAAGCUAAAUACUGGCGAGAGACCGAUAGCGAACAAGUACCGUGAGGGAAAGAUGAAAAGAACUUUGAAAAGAGAGUUAAACAGUACGUGAAAUUGUCAAAAGGGAAGCGUUUGACACCAGUGUUGUUUUCUCGAAAAUCAAUUAAAAAAGAUUGGAUUUUGUGUUGUAUUGACUUUAUCAGCUUUCUGCACUCUUUUCUUGUCUUUUUUAAUGCACUUUUCGUUUAACAAGUCAACAUCAAUUUCUUUUGUUGUAAAAGGGUCAUUGGAAGGUGGCUUUCUUUUCGGAGAAAGUGUUUAUAGCCUUUGGCUUCUGCAAUCGGAGAGAUUGAGGUCUGCAGCGUAGAUCCUUCGGGGUUAGAUACAUUUGUGCUAAGCUAUAGCCUUGUAUAGACAACUUGUUGACUAUGCUCAGUCAUGUAGCUUACUCACUUAUGCUAUUUUACCUACGCUUAGGAUGUUGACGAUCAGCUGAGCGC